GGGUAUAUGGUCUAGUGGUAUGAUUUCUGUUUUGCAUUGCCUCGAGUACAUUGCUCAUACAGACGGUCCCGCGUUCGAUCCGCGGUAUAUCCA